AUACGUAGGGGGCGAGCGUUGUCCGGAAUGAUUGGGCGUAAAGGGCGCGUAGGCGGCCCGGUAAGUCUGGAGUGAAAGUCCUGUUUUUAAGAUGGGAAUUGCUUUGGAUACUGUCGGGCUUGAGUGCAGGAGAGGUAAGUGGAAUUCCCAGUGUAGCGGUGAAAUGCGUAGAGAUUGGGAGGAACACCAGUGGCGAAGGCGACUUACUGGAAUGUAACUGACGCUGAGGCGCGAAAGUGUGGGGAGCAAACAGGAUUAGAUACCCUGGUAGUCCACACUGUAAACGAUGAAUGCUAGGUGUAGGGGGUAUCGACCCCUUCUGUGCCGCAGUCAACACAAUAAGAAUUCCGCCUGGGGAGUACGGCCGCAAGGUUGAAACUCAAAUGAAUUGGCGGG
rnacentral:rRNA from 1 species